rnacentral:rRNA from 1 species
GAUGAACGCUGACAGAAUGCUUAACACAUGCAAGUCUACUUGAUCCUUCGGGUGAUGGUGGCGGACGGGUGAGUAACGCGUAAAGAACUUGCCUUGCAGUCUGGGACAACGUCUGGAAACGGACGCUAAUACCGGAUAUUAUGAUUGAAUCGCAUGAUUUAAUUAUGAAAGCUAUAUGCGCUGCGAGAGAGCUUUGCGUCCCAUUAGUUAGUUGGUGAGGUAACGGCUCACCAAGACGAUGAUGGGUAGCCGGCCUGAGAGGGUGAACGGCCACAAGGGGACUGAGACACGGCCCUUACUCCUACGGGAGGCAGCAGUGGGGAAUAUUGGACAAUGGACCAAAAGUCUGAUCCAGCAAUUCUGUGUGCACGAUGAAGUUUUUCGGAAUGUAAGGUGCUUUCAGUUGGGAAGAAGAAAGUGACGGUACCAACAGAAGAAGCGACGGCUAAAUACGUGCCAGCCGCCGCCGUAA